rnacentral:other from 1 species
GCGUUGCUGCUCCUUGCGUUAGGAAACCGCAUCCCUGGGGCCUUACGAUUCUAUAGGGAGCUGUCCCUGAUUAGACCCGUGGGUUUUUUCACACGGCACCCACCUGCUUUGCAGGCUCCCAGGAUCAACACUUUCCGACGAUUGCUGUGGCUUCGUC